AUCAGAGCAGCUCUGGACGUUCCAAGGACUCGUUGCCUCAGUCUUCCAGUACUUACAGCUUCUAUUCCACCACAUUGUACCCCAAGGCAUGUUCUGGACCGAUGACAUAGCCUAUGAGUUAAUGACCAAAAAGGUGGAGCACCUCAGCAGACUCCAUCCCCAGUAUCCAUGCCGGAAGGAGGGGAAGGUGGUUUCUCCCAUUGCAACCACUGGGGUGAGGGGCAAGCAAGAGGAGAAACUUCGACUCUUAUCGCCCCAAAAGGGUUUCUUUGGGCCAUUCCCCACUGUGGGUCUCAACCUUGUUGCUGACUGAGAUCUCACUGUAUAAGAUCCUUUUCCCCGGGAACCUCCUCACUGCCCUCCAAGGGGCAAUUCUUGGAUGACUCAAAUAUAAGUAAUUAAAGUUGACUUUCAUGC
rnacentral:lncRNA from 1 species